GUCUCCGUGGUCCAGUGGUUACGACGUUCGGCUGUUACGACAUAUACAUUUAUUCACAUAUCUGUAUAUGCAGACUACCGAGAUAUCGGCGGUUCGAUCCCGCCCGGGGACG
rfam:Talaromyces marneffei PM1 scf014, whole genome shotgun sequence.